rnacentral:rRNA from 1 species
GACGGAGGGCGCGAGCGUUGUUCGGAAUCACUGGGCGUAAAGCGCGUGUAGGCGGCCGAGCAAGUCGGAUGUGAAAUCCCGAGGCUCAACCUCGGAACUGCAUUCGAAACUGCUCGGCUCGAGUCCCGGAGAGGAUGGCGGAAUUCCCGGUGUAGGGGUGAAAUCCGUAGAUAUCGGGAGGAACACCAGUGGCGAAGGCGGCCAUCUGGACGGUGACUGACGCUGAGACGUGAAAGCGUGGGGAGCAAACAGG